rnacentral:rRNA from 1 species
ACCCACCAACAUGAUCUAUAAUGCAUCUGAUCUUUUCUGAUCUCCGAAGCUAAGCGGAGUCUGGCCUGGUUAGGACUUAGAUGGGAGAACAUUUCCCAGUGUAGAUUUACUGGGUC